AUUGAACGCUGGCGGCAGGCCUAACACAUGCCAGUCGAGCGAGAGGCGGACGGGUGAGUAAUGUAAGGGGCCUGCCCGAUAGCGGGGGAUAACUACUGGACACGGUAGCUAAUACCGCAUACUAUCGGAUAACCCAUAUGGGAUUAGCUAGUAGGUGAGGGAAUGACUCACCUAGGCGCCGAUCCCUAGCUGGUCUGAGAGGAUGAUCAGCCCCACGUGGACUGAGAAACGGCCCAGACUCCUACGGAGGCAGCAGUGGGGAAUAUUGCGCAGUGGGCGCAAGCCUGCUGCAGCCAUGCCGCGUGUAUGAUGACGGCCCUAGGGUUGUAAAGUAGUUUCAGUCGGGAGGCGUUACCGACAGAAGGAGCACCGGCUAACUCCGUGCCAGCAGCCGCGGUAAUUC
rnacentral:rRNA from 1 species